UACAGAGGGUGCGAGCGUUGUUCGGAAUUAUUGGGCGUAAAGGGUGCGUAGGCGGCGCGGUAAGUCGGGUGUGAAAUCUCGGAGCUUAACUCCGAAACUGCAUUCGAUACUGCUUUGCUAGAGGACUGGAGAGGAGAUUGGAAUUCACGGUGUAGCAGUGAAAUGCGUAGAUAUCGUGAGGAAGACCAGUGGCGAAGGCGGAUCUCUGGACAGUUCCUGACGCUGAGGCGCGAAGGCCAGGGGAGCAAACGGG
rnacentral:rRNA from 1 species